GAUGAACGCUGGCGGCGUGCCUAAUACAUGCAAGUCGAGCGAACAGACGAGGAGCUUGCUCCUCUGACGUUAGCGGCGGACGGGUGAGUAACACGUGGAUAACCUACCUAUAAGACUGGGAUAACUUCGGGAAACCGGAGCUAAUACCGGAUAAUAUAUUGAACCGCAUGGUUCAAUAGUGAAAGACGGUUUUGCUGUCACUUAUAGAUGGAUCCGCGCCGCAUUAGCUAGUUGGUAAGGUAACGACUUACCAAGGCAACGAUGCGUAGCCGACCUGAGAGGGUGAUCGGCCACACUGGAACUGAGACACGGUCCAGACUCCUACGGGAGGCAGCAGUAGGGAAUCUUCCGCAAUGGGCGAAAGCCUGACGAAGCAACGCCGCGUGAGUGAUGAAGGUCUUCGGAUCGUAAAACUCUGUUAUUAGGGAAGAACAAAUGUGUAAGUAACUAUGCACGUCUUGACGGUACCUAAUCAGAAAGCCACGGCUAACUACGUG
rnacentral:rRNA from 1 species